GUAGUUAUGGUUCAGUGGUAGAAUUCUUGCCUUCCAUGUCAGAGACCCUGGUUCAAUUCCAGGCCAAUGCA
rnacentral:tRNA from 1 species